GUCAUAAAGUAUAUUUUCAAUCUUUGCAUUUUUAGCUUGACAUGACGGAAAGACAGUCGUGUCUUUAGUUAAAUAAAAUCAAGUUUCUAAAUUUAUAGUGUAAUCUAAAAUAAUUAAAUGUUUAUGAAUAAAAUUGGUCAAUCUACAACACGGCAUUGCAAAAAUAAUAACAUAAUAUAACACAGCUGUUUUCCAUUAUAGUGAUAGAAAUCAUCUUCAAAUAUCUGGUGUACAAAGUAUUGGUGAAAUUGCGGUAAAAGUGUUAUUUGUUAAUAAAAUGAAUAACGAAGAGAACAAAGAUAUGGCACACCGACAGCAUGUUAAAUAUUUUAUGAGAUUUUUGAAUAUUUUGCCUCCAUCCUUGUCUUCGCAUGAUACUACCAGGGUAACCAUAGCAUAUUUCUCUGUGGCUGGGCUGGAUGUGCUUGGAUCUAUAUCUUCCAUGUCAUUAGAACUCCGUUCAAGAAUCAUUGAUUGGCUGUACAGGUUA